rnacentral:rRNA from 1 species
AUUGAACGCUGGCGGCAUGCUUUACACAUGCAAGUCGAACGGUAACAGGCCGCAAGGUGCUGACGAGUGGCGAACGGGUGAGUAAUGCAUCGGAACGUGCCCAGUCGUGGGGGAUAACUACUCGAAAGAGUAGCUAAUACCGCAUACGAUCUAUGGAUGAAAGCGGGGGACCGUAAGGCCUCGCGCGAUUGGAGCGGCCGAUGUCAGAUUAGGUAGUUGGUGGGGUAAAGGCUCACCAAGCCAACGAUCUGUAGCUGGUCUGAGAGGACGACCAGCCACACUGGGAGUGAGAAACGGCCCAGACUCCUACGGGAGGCAGCAGUGGGGAAUUUGGGAAAAGGGGGGCAAGCCUGAUCAAGCAAUGCCGGGUGCAGGAAGAAGGCCUUCGGGUUGUAAACUGCUUUUGUAGGGAACGAAACGGCUCUGGUUAAUACCCGGGGCUAAUGACGGUACCGUAAGAAUAAGCACCGGCAAAUUACGU